UGGCUCAGGACGAACGCUGGCGGCGUGCCUAAUACAUGCAAGUCGAGCGAACCACUUCGGUGGUUAGCGGCGGACGGGUGAGUAACACGUGGGCAACCUGCCUGUAAGACUGGGAUAACUUCGGGAAACCGGAGCUAAUACCGGAUAAUCCUUUUCCUCUCAUGAGGAAAAGCUGAAAGACGGUUUCGGCUGUCACUUACAGAUGGGCCCGCGGCGCAUUAGCUAGUUGGUGAGGUAACGGCUCACCAAGGCGACGAUGCGUAGCCGACCUGAGAGGGUGAUCGGCCACACUGGGACUGAGACACGGCCCAGACUCCUACGGGAGGCAGCAGUAGGGAAUCUUCCACAAUGGACGAAAGUCUGAUGGAGCAACGCCGCGUGAGCGAUGAAGGCCUUCGGGUCGUAAAGCUCUGUUGUUAGGGAAGAACAAGUACCGGAGUAACUGCCGGUACCUUGAC
rnacentral:rRNA from 1 species